AACUUUUCCUCUGGGCAGGUUUUGAUAAAUCUCCCCCAUAGUGUCUUGCUACUGUAGGAUAGGCAGCCAUUGAUGAUGCCAACAUAGCACUUGAAAUUAUCCAGAAUCGGCACCUGGAGAGAAGAGUGGCACUGUUUGACAGGCGAUGCUCAUGUGCAAAAACAGGACGCUGGCAUCUUGCCGCAGUGAGUUCAGAACGCCAAUGUGUGAGAUUGCUGGUGACAGCUGUUUCCUUCCAAAAGGAACUUCAAUGGACCAUUUCCCCGGACCUGUGCACUCCUCUCUUAAAGGGGUUAUCCAGGAAAAAACUU